CCUACGGGAGGCUGCAGUGGGGGAUAUUGCACAAUGGGGGGAACCCUGAUGCAGCGACGCCGCGUGGGUGAAGAAGCGCCUCGGCGCGUAAAGCCCUGUCAGCAGGGAAGAAAAUGACGGUACCUGAAGAAGAAGCCCCGGCUAACUACGUGCCAGCAGCCGCGGGAAUACGUAGGGGGCAAGCGUUAGCCGGAUGUACUGGGUGUAAAGGGUGCGCAGGCGGGGAUGCAAGCCAGGAGUGAAAGCCCGGGGCUCAACCCCGGGACUGCUCUGGGAACUGCGUGGCUGGAGUGCAGGAGGGGCAGGCGGAAUUCCAGGUGUAGCGGGGAAAUGCGUAGAUAUCAGGAGGAACACCAGUGGCGAAGGCGGCCUGCUGGACUGCAACUGACGUUGAGGCCCGAAAGCGUGGGGAGCAAACAGGAUUAGAUACCCUAGUAGUC
rnacentral:rRNA from 1 species